GAAAACCUUACCUACCCUUGACAUGUCCGGAAUCCCGAAGAGAUUUGGGAGUGCUCGCAAGAGAACCGGAACACAGGUGCUGCAUGGCUGUCGUCAGCUCGUGUCGUGAGAUGUUGGGUUAAGUCCCGCAACGAGCGCAACCCUUGUCAUUAGUUGCCAUCAUUUGGUUGGGCACUCUAAUGAGACUGCCGGUGACAAACCGGAGGAAGGUGGGGAUGACGUCAAGUCCUCAUGGCCCUUAUGGGUAGGGCUUCACACGUCAUACAAUGGUCGGUACAGAGGGUUGCCAACCCGCGAGGGGGGAGCUAAUCCCACAAAGCCGAUCGUAGUCCGGAUCGCAGUCUGCAACUCGACUGCGUGAAGUCGGAAUCGCUAGUAAUCGUGGAUCAGCAUGUCACGGUGAAUACGUUCCCGGGUCUU
rnacentral:rRNA from 1 species